rnacentral:rRNA from 1 species
AACGAACGCUGGCGGCGUGCUUAACACAUGCAAGUCGAACGGUAAGGCCCUUCGGGGUACACGAGUGGCGAACGGGUGAGUAACACGUGGGUGAUCUGCCCUGCACUUCGGGAUAAGCCUGGGAUACUGGGUCUAAUACCGGAUAGGACCACUGCCUGCAUGGGUGGUGGUGGAAAGCUUUUGCGGUGUGGGAUGGGCCCGCGGCCUAUCAGCUUGUUGGUGGGGUGAUGGCCUACCAAGGCGACGACGGGUAGCCGGCCUGAGAGGGUGACCGGCCACACUGGGACUGAGAUACGGCCCAGACUCCUACGGGAGGCAGCAGUGGGGAAUAUUGCACAAUGGGCGCAAGCCUGAUGCAGCGACGCCGCGUGAGGGAUGACGGCCUUCGGGUUGUAAACCUCUUUCAGCACCGACGAAGCGCAAGUGACGGUAGGUGCAGAAGAAGGACCGGCCAACUACGUGCCAGCAGCCGCCGUAAUAC